CGUGGGGGAUGAAGGCCUUCGGAUUGUAAACCCCUUUCAGCAGGGAAGAAGCGAGAGUGACGGUACCUGCAGAAGAAGCGCCGGCUAACUACGUGCCAGCAGCCGCGGUAAUACGUAGGGCGCAAGCGUUGUCCGGAAUUAUUGGGCGUAAAGAGCUCGUAGGCGGUUUGUCGCGUCUGGUGUGAAAACUCAAGGCUCAACCUUGAGCUUGCAUCGGGUACGGGCAGACUAGAGUGCGGUAGGGGUGACUGGAAUUCCUGGUGUAGCGGUGGAAUGCGCAGAUAUCAGGAGGAACACCGAUGGCGAAGGCAGGUCACUGGGCCGCAACUGACGCUGAGGAGCGAAAGCAUGGGGAGCGAACAGGAUUAGAUACCCUGGUAGUCCAUGCCGUAAACGUUGGGCACUAGGUGUGGGGCUCAUUCCACGAGUUCCGUGCCGCAGCUAACGCAUUAAGUGCCCCGCCUGGGGAGUACGGCCGCAAGGCUAAAACUCAAAGGAAUUGACGGGGGCCCGCACAAGCGGCGGAGCAUGCGGAUUAAUUCGAUGCAACGCGAAGAACCUUACCAAGGCUUGACAUGCACCGGAACUGCUCAGAGAUGGGUAGGUCUUCGGACUGGUGCACAGGUGGUGCAUGGUUGUCGUCAGCUCGUGUCGUGAGAUGUUGGGUUAAGUCCCGCAACGAGCGCAACCCUCGUCCUAUGUUGCCAGCACGUGAUGGUGGGGACUCAUAGGAGACUGCCGGGGUCAACUCGGAGGAAGGUGGGGAUGACGUCAAAUCAUCAUGCCCCUUAUGUCUUGGGCUUCACGCAUGCUACAAUGGCCGGUACAAAGGGCUGCGAUACCGCGAGGUGGAGCGAAUCCCAAAAAGCCGGUCUCAGUUCGGAUUGGGGUCUGCAACUCGACCCCAUGAAGUCGGAGUCGCUAGUAAUCGCAGAUCAGCAACGCUGCGGCGAAUACGUUCCCGGGCCUUGUACACACCGCCCGUCAAGUCACGAAAGUCGGUAACACCCGAAGCCGGUGGCCUAACCCCUUGUGGGAUGGAGCCGUCGAAGGUGGGAUUGGCGAUUGGGACU
rnacentral:rRNA from 1 species